rnacentral:rRNA from 1 species
GUCUAAGGCUAUGCCACCCUGAACGUGCCGAAUCUCUUCUGAUCUUGGAAGCUUAAGCAGGGUGGAGCCUGGUUAGUACUUGAAUGGGAGGCCACCUAGGAAUACCAGGUGCUGUAAGCA